rnacentral:rRNA from 1 species
GGAAAGUUGAAAAGAACUUUGAAGAGAGAGUUCAAGAGUACGUGAAACCGUUUAGAGGUAAACGGAUGGGACCGCAAGGUUCCCCUCGGAAUUCAACCUUCCGCUCGGUCAUCGGCCGUCGCGUCGGAUCCGCAAGGACCGGCCGGCGGUCGAGUGGCCGUCGGUGGGCGCACUUUCCGAGGGACUGUGGCCAGGACAGGUUCUCGAGCGUCCAUGAGCCCGCGUGUUAAGGUAGCCGUCUUCGGGCGGCGUUUAUAUUCGCGGGUGGGCAGCGCUCGGGUACCGAGGAACGACCGCCGUGGUUGGCGCGUCGCCGUCUCGUGUCGGGUUCGACUGGCGUGGACUGUUCGCAGUGCUCGCCGACCGCUCGGCGCGUGUGCGGUGGCCAACGCCUGCCGACUCAGGGUCUCUGGCCGUUUUCGUCGGCACCCCAUCCGACCCGUCUUGAAACACGGACCAAGGAGUCUAACAUGUGUGCGAGUCACUGGGUGGCAAACCCACGGGCGAAAUGAAAGUGAAGGUUGGCUCUGGUCGGCCCAGGUGGGAUCGCAGCGAUGCGCGCACCACUGGCCCGUCUCGAUCUCAACGCCAGAUGAGGCGGAGCAAGAGCAUACACGUUGGGACCCG